UACUCCUACGGGAGGCAGCAGUGGGGAAUCUUGCGCAAUGGGCGAAAGCCUGACGCAGCAACGCCGCGUGCGGGAUGAAGGCUCUCGGGUCGUAAACCGCUUUCAGCAGGGAUGAAAAUGACAGUACCUGCAGAAGAAGCCCCGGCUAAAUACGUGCCAGCAGCCGCGGUAAUA
rnacentral:rRNA from 1 species